rnacentral:lncRNA from 1 species
CUUUUUUUUUUUAGUUCUCUCAAUAAUGCUUCGUAGUUUCAGUGUACAGAUCUUUAAAAUGUCUCAUUUUUGACUAGUUUUUAAUUGAAUUUGGUACUUGAUUUUGAUCCUUAUGUCUGCAAAUAGUUUUACUUCUUCCUUUGAUAAUGUUCGGGGCCUUACUGUAUGGCCUCAACCUCCACUAGUGUUAAAUAGAAAGUUAAGAGUUGAUAUCCUUAACCUCAUUUCCAAUCAUAGAGGGUGGAGGUAUUUAGUCUGUCACUCUUCCCUAGCUUUUAUUCCUCCUGGUAAAUUUCUUAACAGGCUCAAGUAAAUAUCCUUUGGGAUUGAUUGGAGAACCCAAAGUUUGCCUUUUCCACUUCCUCAGGUAAUUUGCUUUUGUUUUCUCAUUUUAAAAAGUUGACAUAUGGUUCACAUAACAUAAAAUUCAUACUUUUCUCAAGUAUACAAUUCUAAUGUGGUGUAUUCACAAGGUUGUACAACCAUUACCACUAUGUAAUUCUAAAACAUUUUCACUACCUCAUUACCAGUACCCAUUAGCAGUCAGUUCCCAUUCUUCUCUCCUUUCUGUCCCUGGCAACCACUGAUCUAUCUUCUGUUUCUAUGAAUAGCAUCCAUUCUGAAC